rnacentral:rRNA from 1 species
UACGGAGGGGGCUAGCGUUGUUCGGAAUUACUGGGCGUAAAGCGCACGUAGGUGGCUUUGUAAGUUAGAGGUGAAAGCCCGGAGCUCAACUUCGGAAUUGCCUUUAAGACUGCAUCGCUUGAAUCAUGGAGAGGUCAGUGGAAUUCCGAGUGUAGAGGUGAAAUUCGUAGAUAUUCGGAAGAACACCAGUGGCGAAGGCGACUGACUGGACAUGUAUUGACGCUGAGGUGCGAAAGCGUGGGGAGCAAACAGG